AUGCUCACUUUGGUAGCAUAUAUAUAAAAAUUGGAACAUUACAAAGAUUAGUAUGGCCUCUGUGCACAGAUAACACAAAAAUUCAUGAAGCACUCCAGAUUUGG